AUAUGUGCCCAUAGACUCGAGAGAACUGGGCAGCCCGUCCGCUCUGCCAUACAUAACCCUGAGCUCGGUGGACUAGUAGUUAGAUGGCUGACUACUAGCGAAUACCCAAUGUUGUAUGUU
rfam:Pseudogymnoascus pannorum VKM F-4516 (FW-969) contig_704, whole genome shotgun sequence.